UGGGGAAUUUUUGGACAAUGGGGGCAACCCUGAUCCAGCCAUGCCGCGUGUGUGAAGAAGGCCUUCGGUUGUAAGCACUUUCGGCCGGACGAAAUCGCGCGGGCUAACACUCCGCGUGGAUGACGGUACCGGAAGAAGAAGCACCGGCUAACUACGUGCCAGCAGCCGCGGUAAUACGUAGGGUGCGAGCGUUAAUCGGAAUUACUGGGCGUAAAGUGUGCGCAGGUGGCCGCGCAAGUCGAGUGUGAAAGCCCCGGGCUUAACUUGGGAAUUGCGCUCGAAACUACGUGGCUAGAGUGUGGCAGAGGAAGGUGGAAUUCCACGUGUAGCGGUGAAAUGCGUAGAGAUGUGGAGGAACACCGAUGGCGAAGGCAGCCUUCUGGGCCAACACUGACGCUCAUGCACGAAAGCGUGGGGAGCAAACAGGAUUAGAUACCCUGGUAGUCCACGCCCUAAACGAUGAUGACUAGUUGUUGGGGGAGUUAAAUCCCUUAGUAACGCAG
rnacentral:rRNA from 1 species